GGACUUAUAGCUCAGUUGGUUAGAGCGGCAGACUCAUAAUCUGAAGGUCGUGGGUUCGAUCCCCAUCUAAGUCCA
rnacentral:tRNA from 2 species